rnacentral:rRNA from 1 species
CUCAAAUGAAUUGACGGGGGCCCGCACAAGCGGUGGAGCAUGUGGUUUAAUUCGAUGCAACGCGAAGAACCUUACCUGGUCUUGACAUCCACAGAACUUUCCAGAGAUGGAUUGGUGCCUUCGGGAACUGUGAGACAGGUGCUGCAUGGCUGUCGUCAGCUCGUGUUGUGAAAUGUUGGGUUAAGUCCCGCAACGAGCGCAACCCUUAUCCUUUGUUGCCAGCGGUCCGGCCGGGAACUCAAAGGAGACUGCCAGUGAUAAACUGGAGGAAGGUGGGGAUGACGUCAAGUCAUCAUGGCCCUUACGACCAGGGCUACACACGUGCUACAAUGGUUGGUACAACGAGUUGCGAGUCGGUGACGGCGAGCUAAUCUCUUAAAGCCAAUCUCAGUUCGGAUUGUAGGCUGCAACUCGCCUACAUGAAGUCGGAAUCGCUAGUAAUCGCGGAUCAGCACGCCGCGGUGAUACGUUCCCGGGCCUUGUACACACCGCCCGUCACACCACGAGAGUUUGUACACCCGAAGUCGGUGAGGUAACCUUAUGGAGCCAGCCGCCUAAGGUGGGAUAGAUGAUUGGGGUGAAGUCGU